rnacentral:siRNA from 1 species
CUGGGAACGGCUCUCUCGG